GGGUGCGAUCAUACCAGCACUAAUGCACCGGAUCCCAUCAGAACUCCGAAGUUAAUCGUGCUUGGGCGAGAGGGGUACUAGGUUGUGUGACCUCCUGUGAAGUCCUCGUGUUGCACCCC
rnacentral:rRNA from 1 species